UACCAGCACCCCGAGUGGUCGGGACGUUUAUUGGGCCUAAAGCCUCCGUAGCCGGUUCUCCAAGUCUUCCGUUAAAUCCAACUGCUUAACAGGUGGGCUGCGGAAGGUACUAUAGAGCUAGGAGGCGGGAGAGGCAAGCGGUACUCGAUGGGUAGGGGUAAAAUCCGUUGAUCCAUUGAAGACCACCAGUGGCGAAGGCGGCUUGCCAGAACGCGCUCGACGGUGAGGGAUGAAAGCUGGGGGAGCAAACCGG
rnacentral:rRNA from 1 species